UGAUUAAAUUACCAGCAGAUGAAAAGGAAAUCGUUUAACACAGUUGCAGUCUGCGCGUUAGUUCACAUAUCAAAACAUAAUAUAUAUAAGACACGAAGUCUUCUCAAACUGACAUCAUUCUGAGACAUCAUUCACAGAGAAGAAAAGAUCCACUGCAAGGAAAUCAAAGAUGAAAUUUUGUGUGGUUUUAUUUGUUGUCUUGGCUGUGUUUAUCUAUGAAAUGCAAGAUGCCCAAACAGAAGCUAUGAGCUUCACRYUCUGCCCUUCAAUCUCUMUUCCCAUUGGAUGCUCUCCCGACCAAUGGGUGUACAGAUGUGAGACCAACCGAGGUUAYGUAAYGACAUGUGGAUUGAAGUCGCACAGUAGGAGGAUKACAUGCUCCCCAMCUCUKAACAACCAUGCACACGAUGGCAUAAAGUGUUGCAGUCCUAUGUGCCCAAACUAGCAGGAAUUAAUUUAUCAUGUUAAACGUAUAUGAUUUAGAGAGCUAUAGACAGAGCGUUUUACGAGAUCAGACCUUUUAUUCACUUUUAUUCACAUAUUUUUGAGAGAGUAUACUUUAAGAAAUAAAGUAUUUCUUCUUAA